AUAAUUUGUGGAAAGAAGGAUCUGACUGGUGAAAAGGGAAACAGGUGAGAAUCCUGUACGAACUCGUCACCGUGUUUUGCAAGCAGAAGCUACAGAUCCACUGGGAGAACCGGGAAGGGAGCAGAUGUGUCAGAGCAAUAAGCCGGGAGACCUGCCUUUCGCAGUACAGGAAC
rnacentral:ncRNA from 2 species